AAAAUUUUAUUCUUUAUUUUCACUUUAUAAAUAGGCCAUAACUCAUUAUUACUGUUAUGCAAAGAAAAAGGUAUAUACAUGAAGCAUAUAAUGACAACUAUAUAUAAUGGACAGGGUAUUUUUCUUUUGCAAAUGUUUACUGUUAUGCCACACUAUGCUAGUUUCAAUUCGAAGCAGGAUAAAUGUUACCCUUAUAAGCUUCAUUGUCAGCUUGUUCAAUCACUUGACGUCUGUCGUCCGUCCUCGAUAAUUAUCUUUCACAAAAAUCUAUUUUGAAAUUCUUGAGUCAAAUUUAGCCACACUUGGUGACAAUCAAUAUUACGAUAUUUAGUUUUGAAAAGGUAACAAAGUGAAACAACCUACCAACCAACAUGCCAACAUGGCUAAACAUGGAAUGAAAUGCAAGUUGUGUUGAAAACCACUAUAAAAUGUAAAACAUCUAAAAGGGACAAAGAUGUAAAACAUGUUUUGGUCUUCCUCCUUUGCAUUUACAACAAAUCGAUUCGAAUACCUUGUAAACAAUUAUAUGGUAUAUAUUCAUACAAUAAAUCGUCCAAUUCGUCUAGACAAGAAAAACAAGGAAAUAUUUGAUUAGGAGUGGCGAGUUUAAUCAUUUACAAGACAGUCGAAUACUCUUUAAGAAGCCUGGGAU
rnacentral:lncRNA from 1 species